AACGUUCACUUUAAGAGUAAUUGAUUUUAGUAAGGAAUGUCAACAGCAGUCUGAGAACAGGUAAGUCUUGAAGUGUAAAGCAUUGUUGGUCUACCCCAAGAAGUUGGUUUGGUAACUAUUUUCCUCCACAACAGUUUUCCAUUUAUCCCCAACUUGGUUGAUGAGGUUCUCCCCAAAUAUUUCAUCAUCCCCAGUAGGGCCGGUGAGUCUCAUAUCCAGUAGAGUUGAGAUGAUGAUCGGUCCCCGUUG
rnacentral:lncRNA from 1 species